CAGGCCGGACACCUCAGGGUUAGGAGGCGGGGAAAUAAGCCGGAAAGGGGUGGGCUUAAUUCUGGCCCCGCCCAUCGGCUGGUCCGGGUCGCCAAGGGAGCCAUUUCCUAGUUUCCGUCGACGCCUCCUCUUCUCGCGAGAAACUGGACAUCUCUCGCUGCUCGCUCUGUUGUCUCGCGAGGGUUCUCUCUGGGUGGACGUGUGUGGUCAUUUUGGCUGUCUGGACGAGCUCUUGUACCUGAACCGGAAUCCCUUCGGCUUUUACCUGGAAAUACUGAUUUAGUCCCAACCAUGUGGGGUAUGCUGAGUACACAGAGGUUUGAUCCCCCGUCUGGGAAGAUUCCACAUGCUGUGGAGCAACUAAGCCCCUGCACACCACUGCUAAAACCCAUGCAUGGUGCAGCCAGCAAGUCACAGUUACUGAAGCCCAUGUGCCUGCAGCCUGUGCUCUCCAACCAGAGAAGCCACUGCAGAGAAGCCGGUGCACUGCAGCCAGAGAGGACCCCUGCUCUCCGCAACUAGAGAAAGGCCACACGCCACAAUGAAGACACGACACGGCCAAAAAUAAAUAAACAUAGCAAUGUGCACAGGUCAGAAUGGGACCUUUGGAAGGAGGUCACCAUUAUCCUCAUUACCUCCACCAUGGUUUCAGUUCAGUUGCUCAGUCGUGUCCAACUCUUUGCGACCCCAUGGACUACAGCACGCCAGGCCUCCCUGUCCAUCACCAG